AAAGCAUGAUGGGGACAUUGAGUUAAUAGAUUAUUAAACCUCUUCCAUGCCUCAGAAAAUGACUCCUCAAGUUGUUGAUCAAAUUGCAUGAUUUUAUCCCUGAGAGC